AGCGAAUAGAUACCCAGGUAGUCCACGCCGUAAACGAUGGAUGCUAGCUGUUAUCAGUAUCGACCCUGGUAGUAGCGAAGCUAACGCGUUAAGCAUCCCGCCUGGGGAGUACGGUCGCAAGAUUAAAACUCAAAGGAAUUGACGGGGACCCGCACAAGCGGUGGAGCGUGUUGUUUAAUUCGACGCUAAGCGAAGAACCUUACCAAGGUUUGACAUCUCGGGAAAGUCUCCGAAAGGAGACCGUGCCUUCGGGAACCCGAUGACAGGUGUUGCAUGGCCGUCGUCAGCUCGUGUCGUGAGAUGUUUGGUUAAGUCCAUC
rnacentral:rRNA from 1 species